AACGAACGCUGGCGGCAUGCCUAAUACAUGCAAGUCGAACGAGAUCUUCGGAUCUAGUGGCGCACGGGUGCGUAACGCGUGGGAAUCUGCCCUUGGGUUCGGAAUAACUUCUGGAAACGGAAGCUAAUACCGGAUGAUGACGUAGGUCCAAAGAUUUAUCGCCCAAGGAUGAGCCCGCGUAGGAUUAGGUAGUUGGUGAGGUAAAGGCUCACCAAGCCGACGAUCCUUAGCUGGUCUGAGAGGAUGAUCAGCCACACUGGGACUGAGACACGGCCCAGACUCCUACGGGAGGCAGCAGUAGGGAAUAUUGGACAAUGGGCGAAAGCCUGAUCCAGCAAUGCCGCGUGAGUGAUGAAGGCCUUAGGGUUGUAAAGCUCUUUUACCCGGGAUGAUAAUGACAGUACCGGGAGAAUAAGCUCCGGCUAACUCCGUG
rnacentral:rRNA from 1 species